AGAAAUCAGGCUCCUAAGUCUUGAAUAUGCCAGAGCAAAGGCCCGAGAGGCCAUGGAACCAAAGAUCUGAGAAGAUCUGAAAGAGAAAUGUCGAGGUUAGGUCUCGAAGCUUUGAACAACCAUGGUUUACUGGUGGAGGGGAGUGAGUACCAACCAUCCAUGGCCUAAGAAGCCAUGGAUUUCUGUGAAGGCGGUUGAAAAGGGGUAGGAGGAAGCUAGGGUUCUGAAGAUUUUGUAGAGAGUUUGUGAUUAAAAGGCGGCUGAGAGGUGGAAAUGGGGGAUAAG
rnacentral:lncRNA from 1 species